GACGAACGCUGGCGGCGUGCUUAACACAUGCAAGUCGAACGGAAAGGCCCUGCUUUUGUGGGGUGCUCGAGUGGCGAACGGGUGAGUAACACGUGAGUAACCUGCCCUUGACUUUGGGAUAACUUCAGGAAACUGGGGCUAAUACCGGAUAGGAGCUCCUGCUGCAUGGUGGGGGUUGGAAAGUUUCGGCGGUUGGGGAUGGACUCGCGGCUUAUCAGCUUGUUGGUGGGGUAGUGGCUUACCAAGGCUUUGACGGGUAGCCGGUCUGAGAGGGUGACCGGCCACAUUGGGACUGAGAUACGGCCCAGACUCCUACGGGAGGCAGCAGUGGGGAAUAUUGCACAAUGGGCGGAAGCCUGAUGCAGCAACGCCGCGUGCGGGAUGACGGCCUUCGGGUUGUAAACCGCCUUCGCCUGUGACGAAGCGUGAGUGACGGUAAUGGGUAAAGAAGCACCGGCUAACUACGUG
rnacentral:rRNA from 1 species